rnacentral:rRNA from 1 species
GACGAACGCUGGCGGCGUGCUUAACACAUGCAAGUCGAACGGAAAGGCCCUGCUUUUGUGGGGUGCUCGAGUGGCGAACGGGUGAGUAACACGUGAGUAACCUGCCCUUGACUUUGGGAUAACUUCAGGAAACUGGGGCUAAUACCGGAUAGGAGCUCCUGCUGCAUGGUGGGGGUUGGAAAGUUUCGGCGGUUGGGGAUGGACUCGCGGCUUAUCAGCUUGUUGGUGGGGUAGUGGCUUACCAAGGCUUUGACGGGUAGCCGGCCUGAGAAGGUGACCGGCCACAUUGGGACAGAGAGCCGGCCCAGUCUCCUACGGGAGACAGCAGUGGGAAAUAUGGCACAAUGGGCGGAGGCCUGAUGCAGCAACGCCGCGUGCGGGAUGACGGCCUUCGGGUUGGAAACCGCUUUCGCCUGUGACGAAGCGUGAGUGACGGUAAUGGGUAAAGAAGCACCGGCUAACUACGUG